AUGUGUUUUGGGGUCAGAGACCAAGUAUGGCCAAUGUGAAUCUCAUUGGCCAUACUUGGUCUCUGACCCCAAAACACAU
rnacentral:miRNA from 1 species